AGGACCCAUUUCGCUUGGGUUCUGCGUCAAGACUCAGGUCUCUUGGGUCCUGCAUUGGGACCUAAUCCUUUUGGAUCCUUUGCCAGGACCCAAGGUUCUUGGGUCUU
rfam:Populus trichocarpa scaffold_6_contig_299, whole genome shotgun sequence.